ACGGGGGGGGCAAGCGUUGUUCGGAAUUACUGGGCGUAAAGGGUCUGUAGGUGGCCAACUAAGUCAGACGUGAAAUCCCCCGGCCUAACUGGGGAACUGCAUCGGAUACUACUUGACUUGAGUGCAGGAGGGGAGAGUGGAAUUCCAGGUGGAGCGGUGAAAUGCGUAGAUAUCUGGAGGAACGCCGGUGGCGAAAGCGACUCUCUGGUCUGUAACUGACGCUGAGGUGCGAAAGCUAGGGGAGCAAACGGGA
rnacentral:rRNA from 1 species